AUUGAACGCUGGCGGCAGGCCUAACACAUGCAAGUCGAGCGGAUGAAGGGAGCUUGCUCCUGGAUUCAGCGGCGGACGGGUGAGUAAUGCCUAGGAAUCUGCCUGGUAGUGGGGGAUAACGUCCGGAAACGGGCGCUAAUACCGCAUACGUCCUGAGGGAGAAAGUGGGGGAUCUUCGGACCUCACGCUAUCAGAUGAGCCUAGGUCGGAUUAGAUAGUUGGUGGGGUAAAGGCCUACCAAGGCGACUAUCCGUAACUGGUAUGAGAGGAUGAUCAUGUACACUGGAACUGAGACACGGUCCAGACUCCUACGGGAGGCAGCAGUGGGGAAUAUUGGACAAUGGGCGAAAGCCUGAUCCAGCCAUGCCGCGUGUGUGAAGAAGGUCUUCGGAUUGUAAAGCACUUUAAGUUGGGAGGAAGGUCAGUAAGUUAAUACCUUGCUGUUUUGACGUUACCAACAGAAUAAGCUCCGGCUAACUUCGUG
rnacentral:rRNA from 1 species